rfam:Ictidomys tridecemlineatus contig041688, whole genome shotgun sequence.
AGGGAUGUAGCUCAGUGGUCAAGUAUUUGCAGAGCAUGCAUGAGGCCCUGGGUUCAAUUCCCAGCAUCACCA